CCCCCCCCCCCCCCCCCCCCCCCCCCCCCCCCUGCUGCUGCUGGAGCCCCGCUCCUGGCGGUGUCCGCGGCGCGCUGCUUCCCGCGCCGUCAGCCUAGAGGGGCACACGGGCCUGCGAGAUUCUGGUCAUCGAGGGGAGGACACAGCGAACCAAAGAUUCCCCCCAAGCCAGCAGUCCCCUCAGCAGAGCAGGGUCUGUUACGUGCUCUGCCUUGCUGCAGGAGUGAGUGUUGGAGUCCGCCAGGUCUGUUACGUGCUCUGCCUUGCUGCAAGAGUGAGUGCUGGAGUCGGCCUGAGGAAUUGCUUGGAAGCAGAGGGUGAAGCAGGAUCUUUCCUUGUGACAGUAGUGCAGACACAGCAGAUCUCAAUGGCCCUGGUGCCACACAAACUUCUAAGACUUGACUGUUGCAAAGAAAUGUGGUGGUGGCUUGUGUUUUUAAAAUAAUUGCCACCACUUCAAAAUUAGACUAUAGUCUAGAAAUACGGAAAUCUAGCAACGUUAAUUAGAUUCUCUUACGAGACAGGUGAAUGUGUGCAUGCUUCUGAGACUUACAUGUGGUCAUGGAAGGGUUCUCCUAAGCAUCCUAACAAAUACUGUGCUAUGUGACUAUCAGAAAAAUCUCUGGAGCCUUCAGACAGAAGCCGUAUGUACGAGGUGCCAGUCAGCACCUCCUUUUGUUUCACCUGCUAGCUUUUUGAACUGAGCUGCUGUGUUUGAAGUCUUCAACUCAGUUCUUCAGCUAUUACUAGCAAACACACUUCCCUUGUUGUAGAUCAUCUUCUGCCUUUGAAGUUUGUGCAUCUUUUUGCAUCUGUUGCAUCCAUCAUCAUAACUGGUUUUUCUGGGUUAUGCUUCAGUUAUCCUUAGUAGUGGUUAGCAAUGUGCAACUUUUCUGUCCUCAUUGAAGUGACACUCCCGUGCUGAUUGUAGUCAUCCUGUGUUUGGUGGCGCACCUUUAUACGGUAACAGAGGUGUAAUCUAGAACUUGUAACCCGUUUUUUAAUUUCUUUGUUCUAGUGUGGGAUUAUUGAAGAAUUUCUAUGUGCUUAAUGAGUGGAGCGUUGAUGUUGGUAUUUGCAGGGUUAGGUAGAUUUGGGUUUCCACUUUGCUUGGAGGUAGAAGGUGGUAUGUGUGUUUAAACUUUGAUAGAUCAUUGUUGAGGAUUCUGUGGCCAUUUGUGUAGCUCCAGGCUGAGAGCCAGGCUAGGGAGCCAAGAGCCUCUUCUUAGAGCUCUGCUUUCAAAUACAUAGCAGCAGCAAAGGCAGAGAAAAAUAUCUCAUGUACAAGAAUUUCUGCAAAAACUCCCCAAAGUGUAGAAGUGAAGUCAGCUCAGAAUUCUGAAAGUAGUCACAACACACAAACUUCAUGAGAAGGUGUUUUAUUUGUCAGUCAGGAGUGAUCGCAUUUUAAGAGCAAUGACUCUGUUUAGUUAAUUGUCUGUAUUUUCUGGCUUUGUUAUAAAGUUCUGAUAGCUUAGACCUUAAAAAUUAUAGGAACAGUGAAGGACUUGAGGAAUUAUUCUAUACUUGGGAUACUGUCUAAAUUGGCAUUUAUGAAGAAGCAAAUGGGCAUGUUCACACCUCAAGGAAAACCAUUCCUAUAUUUGCUCCACUUGUACUUCAUUAGCUAAAGGAUGGUUUCCUUAUAUUCUGCAUUCCUUAGUGUUGCUUCAGUGAUGAUGUAAAACAGAAGCAGUCCUGGUUAGAAAUAUGUAUUGUUCUAAAAGUGUUAGGAUCAGUACAUGUCCAGUGUUAGUGGCAGGAGUAACCGAAUUAGCUGCCCAUUCACUGUGCAGCAGGAACAGAACAGGAUCUUCUGUGCCUGCAUAAGCCUCAGUUGAGUAAUGGUGUUGGGUACUGGUUAAGCAGGAAUUGCUUUGCUGGUGGAAUUUGAUACAGUUUUUAAACACAUACUCCACCCAGUUAGUAGGUCUCUUUGAGCAAAGCUUUCAGCGUCCCUUGCCAACAUGUUGGGACUCAUGCUUCAAAAAUUUCAG
rnacentral:lncRNA from 12 species